UCCUCCGCCUCGGCCUCCAUCUUCUCCUGCGCCAGCAAACCUUAGCAGGUAUGGCUCGUCGCCCCCUCUGCCUCUCUUUGCUCUGCUGCUGCUGCUGUGUGCUCUGCUGCUGCUGCUGCUGUGGGGACUGGGGAAGGAGAAGGACCGAAGGAAAGAGAGGCAGAGAGCGCGGGGUGGGCUCUAUAUGUGGUCUGCUGUUAGAUGUAUAUCAGUAUAGGCUGCUGCUCUGUGCUCUGGUGCUCUAUAUUAGUACUCCCUCCGUUCCAUAAUGUAGUGCCUAUAGAUUUUUGCAAAAGUCAAGCAUUACAAAUUUUGACCGUACUUAUAAUGAAAAGUAGGUACAUCUAGAAUACCAAAUGCACAUCAUUGGAUACAUUAUGAGUUAUAUUUUCAGAAUGUACAUGUUUGGUAUUCUAGAUGUAAACAAUUUUCUCUAUACACUUGGUCAAAGUUGGCAAAGUUUGACUUUUACAAAAAUUUAUAGGCACUACAUUGUGGAAUGGAGGGAGUAUAUGGCGACUUGGGGCGACUAUUCAAGCCGAGUCAGUGAGUCAAGCCAGCAAGCCACUAGCCGCAACCUCGUCGACUUGGCUUGACUCGGCGACUCAAAAACCUUGGUACCAAGUUCAACUAUCAGUCUACUCCGAGUUCAGGUAUGUUGUUGUGGACGACCCUAAGGCAAGUUGUAAUAGUCCUAUUUAGUACUACUUGUUAGCAUUUUUUUUAACUCUCUUCAUUUCUUUAUAACAGGGUAGUUCAAUUUUGCUAAUUCCUACGGUUCUCUAGUUAGAAAACCAGUGGAUCAUUUUUUUAGUUCCUGUGGUCUACAAAAUUAUUUGACCACCGUCGUGGGCACUUCUUCUUCGACAUCUCGUAAAGUUCAGCUUUCGUCAUCUCAUCCUUAUAUCUCUAUGUAUGUUCAAUCGUUGCUCACUUAAGAGUUCAAAAAAAAAAAGAUUUCGAACAGUGAUCUCUAAAUAGGACCAAUUUUAGCAUGUUUUCUGAAAUAUUUUAGCAUGUUUUAUGUUUUCAUCGACAAAGUUCACACACUACUGUCUCGGACGUUCAAACAUUUGUUUCCCUGAUGUUCAAAUAUUAUCGUCUAGGAAUACAUGCUCUAACUUCGAGAGAAAAAGUUCAUGUUGAUUACUCCCGUCAAGUGUAAAAGUUCACCAAUAUACAAUCUAUAAGUACAAUAUCCAGUACAUUAGUUUAGUAGUUGGUACUAACUACUCCAGUUUUUUAUUUGAUGUACCUGUGGUGUCUAGUUUCUUCUGUCAGUUCAAUUUCUAAAUUUCAUCCAGUUCAAUUCAUAUUGUAGCUCCAAUUUAGUCCACGUGGUCAAUUAUUGGCUGGUGUGUGUGCAGGGUAUCGUGACAUUGAGUAGGCGCGAAGUGUAUCACUCCAGCACACCAAGCUCUAGUGCAUGUCAACAUCUUCUCCACUGCAAUGGAAGCUCCUCCGUUCGAGUUGAGCACUGGUUAUCGUCCAAGUUGAGCACUAGGUGUCAUCCAAGUUCAAAGACGGUUGCAUGCAAGUACAUAAGUUUGUUUUAGUGAGAAAAAUGCGGCAUUUUGACAAUAUUCUGUUUGAUUCAUUUAUUCAAACUUAGGACUUGGCGAUAUUCGGUCUAUUUUUCUAUGAUGAAGGCACACAUGAAGUCAUGUGCGAAUGGUUAUCCCCCCUAGUGCUUCAAAGAUUUGUAUUUUGUUUCUUCAAAUGUGAUGUGCGCAUGUUUGAUGAGAUAAAACAAAAUAAAAUAGUGAAAAUGUCAUUAAAGACACUUGGAAGAACAAAUGUAGAAAAUAAAUAAGUUCUGG
rnacentral:lncRNA from 1 species